rnacentral:rRNA from 1 species
GACGAACGCUGGCGGCGUGCUUAACACAUGCAAGUCGAACGGAAAGGCCCUUCGGGGUACUCGAGUGGCGAACGGGUGAGUAACACGUGGGCGAUCUGCCCCGCACUUUGGGAUAAGCCUGGGAAACUGGGCCUAAUACCGAAUAGGACCACAUGCUUCAUGGCGUGUGGUGGAAAGCUUUUGCGGUGUGGGAUGAGCCCGCGGCCUAUCAGCUUGUUGGUGAGGUAAUAGCUCACCAAGGCGACGACGGGUAGCCGGCCUGAGAGGGUGACCGGCCACACUGGGACUGAGAUACGGCCCAGACUCCUACGGGAGGCAGCAGUGGGGAAUAUUGCACAAUGGGCGCAAGCCUGAUGCAGCGACGCCGCGUGAGGGAUGACGGCCUUCGGGUUGUAAACCUCUUUCAGUAGGGACGAAGCGAAAGUGACGGUACCUACAGAAGAAGGACCGGCCAACUACGUG